AAUCAACGCUGGCGGCGUGCCUCAGACAUGCAAGUCGAACGCGAAAUUUCCCUUCGGGGAGAAAGUAGAGUGGCGCACGGGUGAGUAACACGUAGGUAAUUUGCCUUUGGGUGGGGAAUAACUCAGGGAAACUUGAGCUAAUACCGCAUAAUGCAGCGGCUCGACAUCGAGACAGUUGUUAAAGCGGGGGAGUUGGAGCAAU
rnacentral:rRNA from 1 species